GACGAACGCUGGCGGCGUGCCUAACACAUGCAAGUCGAACGGAGCAGAUCCCUUCGGGGUUUGCUUAGUGGCGAACGGGUGAGUAACGCGUGAGGAACCUGCCUUUCAGUGGGGGACAACAGUUGGAAACGACUGCUAAUACCGCAUAAUGCUUUUGAGCGGCAUCGCUUCAGGAUGGCCUCGCGUCCAAUUAGGUAGAUGGUGAGGUAACGGCCCACCAUGCCGACGAUUGGUAGCCGGACUGAGAGGUUGAACGGCCACAUUGGGACUGAGACACGGCCCAG
rnacentral:rRNA from 1 species